AAAAACAUCGCCUCUUGCAAAACUGAGAAAUAAGAGGUCCCGCCUGCCCUGUGACUAUAUGUUUAACGGCCGCGGUAUUUUGACCGUGCGAAGGUAGCGCAAUCACUUGUCUUUUAAAUGGAGACCUGUAUGAAUGGCAUAACGAGGGCUUAGCUGUCUCCUUUUUCAAGUCAAUGAAAUUGAUCUCCCCGUGCAGAAGCGGGGAUAACACCAUAAGACGAGAAGACCCUAUGGAGCUUUAGACACCAAGGCAGAUCAUGUUAAACACCCCUUCACAAAGGACCAAACCAGAUGAACCCUGCCCUAAUGUCUUUGGUUGGGGCGACCGCGGGGAAACAAAAAACCCCCACGUGGAAUGGGAAUACCCCUCCUACAACUAAGAGCUCCCGCUCUAAUGACCAGAAUUUCUGACCAAUCAGAUCCGGCAACGCCGAUCAACGGACCGAGUUACCCUAGGGAUAACAGCGCAAUCCCCUUUUAGAGCCCAUAUCGACAAGGGGGUUUACGACCUCGAUGUUGGAUCAGGACAUCCUAAUGGUGCAGCCGCUAUUAAGGGUUCGUUUGUUCAACGAUUAAAGUCCUACGUGAUCUGA
rnacentral:rRNA from 1 species